GACGGAAGGUGCAAGCGUUGCUCGGAAUCACUGGGCGUAAAGGGUGCGUAGGCGGCCGUGCAAGUCUGGCGUGAAAGCCCCGGGCUCAGCCCGGGAAGUGCGCUCGAAACUACUUGGCUGGAGUGUGGCAGAGGAAGGUGGAAUUCCACGUGUAGCGGUGAAAUGCGUAGAGAUGUGGAGGAACACCGAUGGCGAAGGCAGCCUUCUGGGCCAACACUGACGCUCAUGCACGAAAGCGUGGGGAGCAAACAGG
rnacentral:rRNA from 1 species